rnacentral:rRNA from 1 species
CCUACGGGAGGCAGCAGGGAGGAAUAGUGGUCAAUGGGCGCGAGCCGGAACCAGCCAAGUAGCGUGAAGGAUGACUGCCCUACGGGUGGUAAACUUCUUUUAUAAAGGAAUAAAGUGAGGCACGUGUGCCUGUUUGUAUGUACUUUAUGAAUAAGGAGCGGCUAACUCCGUGCCAGCAGCCGCGGUAAUACGGAGGAUCCGAGCGUUAUCCGGAUUUAUUGGGGUUAAAGGGAGCGUAGAUGGGUUGUUAAGUCAGUUGGGAAAGUUUGCGGCUCAACCGUAAAAUUGCAAUUGAUACUGGCAGCCUUGAGUACCGUUGCGGUAGGCGUAAUUCGUGGUGUAGCGGU